AGCAGUAGCCACGGUAAUGCGUAGGUGGCAAGCGUUGUCCGGAAUUAUUGGGCGUAAAGGGCUCGCAGGCGGUUUCUUAAGUCUGAUGUGAAAGCCCCCGGCUCAACCGGGGAGGGUCAUUGGAAGCUGGGAAACUUGAGUGCAGAAGAGGAGAGUGGAAUUCCACGUGUAGCGGUGAAAUGCGUAGAGAUGUGGAGGAACACCAGUGGCGAAGGCGACUCUCUGGUCUGUAACUGACGCUGAGGAGCGAAAGCGUGGGGAGCGAACAGGAUUAGAGACCCCCGUAGUCCCUGUCUCUUAUAC
rnacentral:rRNA from 1 species